GGGGGUAUAGCUCAGCUGGGAGAGCAGCAGACUGAAGUCUCGAGGUUCAUCAGUGAAUAUUUCUUCUGAAGGUCCCGCAUUCGAUCCGCGGUACCCCCA